UAUGUGUAUCCAAAGGCUGGUGAAGCGCAGGGGAAGUUUUUUUUCCUCUCGUUUCAGUGAUUGGUAGCCUACAUCAUCUGGGUGAUGGCUUCGAAUAUGUGUAGCAUGUUCGAUAUAUUUCCACUCUCUCGCCUGUACUACUGUAACUGAAGUUCUUAAACUUACGAUCUUAAAGAGACCAGCGGAUCCUCUAACUCUUGUGGGUCGCCACCACUCGCUUAGUGCCCAUACAGAAAAAUCAAGGGAAAAAAUAUAUUCACAUAUAUGCAGCUACAUCCAGCUUAUAUUUAAAUAGAUGGCUACAAUAUAUUUAAUACAUAUAUAGUACAAGAAUGUAUAUAUGCAAGUAUAUGUGGGACCCAGCAAUGUAACAUAUAUGUGGAUAUCUUACAUGAGAACAUAUAUGGUGAAUAUAUUCAAUUAACUUAUUUGCACACAGGCAGUGAUGGGUGGGGUUUACAAAAUACGUCACUACCAACGUACUCUAAGGUCGUUGGAAUAACGGUUAAAAUGUUUGCAGCUUUUUCACUAGCUGCUACAUAAGCAUAACUAACAGCUACUACUAGUCCAAAUGUAAAACGUUUGCUCUGGUUAAGUGGAUUGGCGGGGAGUAUGAGGGCAAAACCAGAAUUUUGCGGACUGACUGCAUUAGUAAACCUAGCGUUAAUGAGGAAGACUUUUUCAACGGCUCUGUAACCUUAUGGGACAACAUCUUGCUAGAAACUAUGUGGUGGAGGGGAGGAAGGCAGCCAAGAGGUAGUUUGGCCAUGGUGGUCAAAAUUGCUGAGAGGCAACACUAGAAAGCUACAUCAAGGACACCGGAGGAUGGACCAGAAGACCUGAGACCAAGACGACCCAAGCCCAACCCAUAGUAUGCUUCACUGACAAAUGUUGAUGCUUCAUCAUCACAUAGACCAAAGGUUUCAGAGAAGGCUGGUAGAGCUCUCUAUGAGUGUGAGCUGUGGGAGAUAACCAAGAACUGACAACCACCUAAGAAGAGGUGGCGAUAAUGGCUCUCCAAGAGGAGGUUGAGGCACUUCGAGGGAAUGCCUGGACCCUGAGAGGACUAAGACGAUAAUUGAGGCCACCCUGAAGCAGUUCCCAGGCCAGACACUCACUCCAGAUUGCUGGGCCAGGCAAUAAAUGCCAAAGUGACAGAAUUGAGGUUCCAUAACAAAAACAAAGAUUUUCAAUAAAAUAGAAUAAAAGAUAA